UAAUUAAAGGCCUGAUCCAAGCCCAUUGAAGUUAAUGGGAAUAUUUCUACUGACUUCACUGGGCUUUGGAUCAAGCCUGCCCAUA
rnacentral:pre_miRNA from 1 species